rnacentral:sRNA from 1 species
AUGUACCAGGCGUGCAGUGCAGUUCUUUCGCGCCGUCAGCACCCCUGACGGCCGCCCGCGACAUGUUGUCAGCA